AUUGCAGAAAAAUUCACACUGCCACAUAAAUCAGACUAUUGAAUUUACUCUAGUUUAUCUCCUUUGAAACCAUCAGAAGAUGGAGAUUAUCACAGACUCACUAAACUAUGAAGGACAUUUGCAGGGUUUUUGGCUGCUGAGAGCCGCCCCACCUCCCUUUCCGUAGCAGCACUCCAAUUUCCUUCUAAGAAAUGACCUUUAUUUACCCUUCUCUGAGUUCACACAAUUUGAUUGAUAUGGAUCCACUCCAGUUUUAUGGGCAUGUUUCUCAGAUCUGGCGAAUUAUAGAUUUGCUUUCCCGUGGGCAGAGUGAGUGGUUCUGAAUGGUACAUGACUUGAUCAGGACCAAGAGACACAGUGGGAAUUUGGCUUUAACGUUUGGAAAGAAGAUGUUCCUUCCCACUAGACUCGAACUCAGGAGGAUGUAAAGCUGGACCAUGAUAUUCUUUCUUCCAGGACAGAAGACUACUCCAGGUAUAUUACAGGACACAGAACAAGAAGCCUGAAGGCGAAGGAGUGGGAGUUCACACUCGAAUCUGCACAAGGAGUUGCAGCUGGAGGAGAAGGCUGCCUGCCCCGAGCAGUGAAGUGACUUCAACAGAGGAACCUAGCCUCUACCUACCUACGAUCUGUCAAGGAGUAAUUCUGGGGGAAUAAAUGCCCCAACCUCAUUCUUCUCCUGUCCUCUCAUCUCCUGCUGUGGCUUCCCACUGGCCAAGACUAACUGGAGAGAAAGGGGUUGUACCAGAUGCUGUGAAAAAUGCAAAGAGGACUUAGACACAGCCCUCAAGGAGCUCACCAUCUCCUGGAAGAGACAGGCAGGCAUCUGCCAAUGACUGCGUUGGGACCUAAAAUCUAGAGAAGAGAUUGAUUCUGAAACUCUCCAGAAGGCUAGCUCAGCUAACCCUACUACUUAAACUAUCUUAGAUUGUUUACCUAAUCCUUCUGAGACUCAGUUUACUUAUCUAUAGAAUGAGAAUAUAAUGGGUUUAAGAAGAUUACACAAGACCACAUAUGCAAAGCACCCAGCAGAAGGUGGCCAAUACAAAUUAGGUUCUGUUUUCCUUCGUACUCAUCCCCAGCUGCUGUUCUUCCUGAAGAGCGCUCUUUAAUAAAUCACAUUUAUUGGCUGCUCCGAUUCCUGGUUCUAGAGAACCAGACCUAAGAUACUUAAUAAAGGACACAAGCUAGAAUAAUUCUCCUCAAAGCCUUUUGACCACAAGUCCUGCAGAAACUGGCUGAAUGUCUUUUUCUGUCUUGAGUCUACUCAGAACUCCUCCAUUCUGACAUGGCCCCAAGGAACUUGCUUGAUCACCAGGGAACUUUCACCCAGAAAAUCCAGUCUCACAUUUGUUUGAAGGACUGACCUUUGCAGGAAUGAUAUGUCUGUGCCCCUUCAUGAAUGCCAUCUUACCUCUACUCUUUCACAGUUUGUCAGGAAAGUGGAGGUUAUUUAGAGCCCUGGAAGAAGAUGUGAGAUUUCUCGAUGUGGAAUUGCCUAAUUUUGAAAUUGGUAGGCUUCUAGAAGCAAAUAUUUUCAGACUAAAACCAGUUGAUAUAUUUGCCUAGACUUUUCUUUCUUUUUUUCUUUGGUUUCUCAUAAAGCAGGUUCUGGAGGCUGGUAACUUGAAGGGGAAUAAAGACUUCUGUGAGAAAACA